UGAGAUUUUUUCAAUCUAUAUUUUUUCUCUCUGUGUUUGACUUUAAAAUGCGAGCAUCAUUACAGUUGACUGACAGCAGGCAAGUCAUUCGGGAUGUCUAUACUAUAUAUAGGAGACGUGUUUAGAUAAUUGCAGGGAGUUCCUCAUCGAUUUGGCAGUCACAUAAUUAUGAUGGUGGAAUUUUUUAUGCAAAUGCCAGGACACGGAUCGUUGGGCUCAACUUCCGCUUAGCAUUUUUCGCCAGCCAACUUCUAGGUGCUGAAAUACUGCAGACGCUGAUUGCUCAGCUCGAAAAUUGUUGUCGUCCGCCUUUUUGUG